UAGGGAAUCUUCGGCAAUGGACGAAAGUCUGACCGAGCAACGCCGCGUGAGUGAAGAAGGUUUUCGGAUCGUAAAACUCUGUUGUUAGAGAAGAACAAGGACGUUAGUAACUGAACGUCCCCUGACGGUAUCUAACCAGAAAGCCACGGCUAACUACGUGCCAGCAGCCGCGGUAAUACGUAGGUGGCAAGCGUUGUCCGGAUUUAUUGGGCGUAAAGCGAGCGCAGGCGGUUUCUUAAGUCUGAUGUGAAAGCCCACGGCUCGACCGGGGAGGGUCAUUUGAAACUGGGAGACUUGAGUGCAGAAGAGGAGAGUGGAAUUCCAUGUGUAGCGGUGAAAUGCGUAGAUAUAUGGAGGAACACCAGUGGCGAAGGCGGCUCUCUGGUCUGUAACUGACGCUGAGGCUCGAAAGCGUGGAGAGCAAACAGG
rnacentral:rRNA from 1 species